rnacentral:rRNA from 1 species
UCGGCGAGCGGCGGACGGGCUGAGUAACGCGUGGGAAGUCUGCCCCAAAGUGAGGGAGUAACUGCCCGAAACGGGUAGCUAAUACCGCAUAUGGUCUUCGGAUUAAAGCAUUUAUGCGCUUUGGGAGGAGCCCGCGUCGGAUUAGGUAGUUGGUAGGGUAAUGGCCUACCAAGCCGACGAUCCGUAGCUGGUCUGAGAGGAUGAUCAGCCAGACUGGGACUGAGACACGGCCCAG